rnacentral:misc_RNA from 1 species
UAAUCUCACUACGAUCGACUUUAUGUCUUUCGGUAUGUGGACUUGGAUGUUGCCGUGAACAAACGAACGGCUCGUCUGAAAUGCCUGAGUGUACCCCGCUUUGCGGCGUAUUCGGUGUGAUACAUCUUCACCGGAGUUGAUCCCUUUGUCGGGGUCGCGUCUGUAAUGGUGUGGCUCUAUGCUUCGAACCGUCUUCUUAUCGAGACAAACCUCUGACA